AAAUAGCAUAAUAAAAAUCCAAACCAACCGACGCAAUUCAAGCUCAAUAUUCCAUAAAACAAAGAUUAAACACACCAAUACCCAGAAAACCCAAGUCAGGAAUCGAACACACAGCAGAGUCGCACCGACCAAAGGCGUAGGCUCAAAGUUCAAGAACUACUAAAAACGACUCAAAUCUGAAUCAAUUAAGAAAAAUGGGUUUCCAGAAAGAGAAAAACAAAGUUGCAGUGAAG
rnacentral:misc_RNA from 1 species